UAUAGUAAAUUUUUUUUGAACCCCCUGAAAUUAAAAAAUUGCACCCAGGUCCCAGACAGCCUCACUCUCUCUCACGCACUCAUUCUCACUCUCAGUCUCUCUCUCACCACACUCACGAAUCACGAUUCUGUCAUUCACACGGUCACACCUCUUCUCCUUCUCUUGACCACCACCGAUCCAGUCCACCACCACCAGCCGACGCACCACCGCCACCGGCCACCAGCCCACCACAAUCCUUCUCUGCUCACUACCUUCUCUCUCUCUCACGACUCUGGUUCUACACUUCUACUUCUCAACUCUCAAGCACAACACACACCAGUGACACCACGCGGCCACGCCACCAGUCCACCACCACCGGCGGCCGGCGCACACUGCACAACGCCACCACCCACUCUCUCUCUCUCUGUUGAAGCUUGAAGGUUUUGGAGUCAACAUGUUCCUUCUUAGAAGGCAAGCCCAGAAUCAGCAAGAGAAUGGUCCUGCGCAACAGGAUGCAAAGGUUCAUUUUGUCCCUGAUGAACGAGGCUAGCUUAUUUCUGCUUCAGAAGAUGGUUUGAUCUGCACAUUUGAUACCACGGGAGAUAUCAAUGAUGAUGAUCAUCUAGAGUCAGUGAUUAAUGUGGGAACUUCCAUUGCCAAGGUAGGGCUUUUUGGAGAGAGUUAUCAGAAGCUUUGGUGUUUAACGCAUAUUGAAACCUUGGGGUACAGUUUAUUUCGGUUAUCUGUUUAGUUCAGGUUACAAAGGUAUAUGAAAGUCUUUUCCCUUUCGCUGUGUUUGGAAUCCUUAAAAUCAUCAUGGAAUUGGAAUGAAUUCUCGUAUGAAUCUGGUUUUAAAUUGUCAUGGUUUAAGACUUUAAUUCAUUUACCAAUCAUCGUGUUUGUAAAUUGUAAUAUCUCAUAAUUUGUUACUUUUAAUGGAUUUGUAAAUCAUUUUCAUUCAACUGAAUUCUUUUCAUUUUUUAAGCUUUCCCAACAUAGGAUUUGUGCAUUUCGUGUAUUUCUCUGUCCAGUUCUUCAGCAGUUCAGUAUUUUAAUUGAUGUGUUCUUUUGAAAAUUUUGAACCCCCUGACCUCGGGGUCCUGGAUCC